GCGUUGUUCGGAAUCACUGGGCGUAAAGCGUAUGUAGGCGGAUCAAAAAGUUAGAUGUGAAAUCCCUGGGCUCAACCCAGGAACUGCAUUUAAAACUAGUGAUCUAGAAUUUGGUAAAGGUUAGUAGAAUUUCCAGUGUAGAGGUGAAAUUCGUAGAUAUUGGAAAGAAUACCAGAAGCGAAGGCGACUAACUAGGCCAUUUUUGACGCUGAGAUACGAAAGCGUGGGUAGCAAACAGGAUUAGAUACCCUGGUAGUCCACGCAGUAAACGAUGAGUGCUAGUCGCUGGGACAAUAGUUUCAGUGUCGACGCUAACGCAUUAAGCACUCCGCCUGGGAAGUACGGUCGCAAGAUUAAAACUCAAAUAAAUUGACGGGGACCCGCACAAGCAGUGGAGCAUGUGGUUUAAUUCGACGCAACGCGAAGAACCUUACCAGCGUUUGACAUGGGAAGUGCCGGUUACAGAAUGGUAACCUUCAGUUCGGCUGGCUUCCACACAGGUGCUGCAUGGCU
rnacentral:rRNA from 1 species